CACAGGAUGUGCUCACACUGGAUACACCUGUGCCUCCUGCACCUGGAUCAAGAAUCAUCACAGCUAGGCCCCCAGGGCUCCUUGGGCCUCCUCUCAAGCCACUCUGACUCCCUGUUGAAAAUUAUCACUCCUCUGUCUGCGUCCCCCAAUGCUGUACAUCGUCAGGAACUUCUACUCACCAUAAAAGGGCCUCACACUAUGGCCUGAAAAAAGACAGGAAGAGGUGCUCACAAGAUGGCUGAUCAGAUGGCUGAGUGAACGUCAUAGCCACGGCACCCUCCCCAGAGGUUUCUGCAGCUGUCCCCACCGCCUUAAUGACAGAUAAGCUUGGCUUAGACAGCCCCGCCUAUGUGCCUGGCAGAGCACAGUCAGCCAGCAAUCAGCCCAGGGGACUCUGGCCAGAGUAACCUAUGGCACAGCCCUUUGAGCAAUCCAGCAACUGGUACAAUCACAUAGGAAAGCUGUCCAGCAGCAUCAGUCAUCACAGGACAGUUAGAAACAGAUCUUUUUAAAAAAAUAAUCGAGCUUUGAGUGUUCUUCAAAGGACAAAGAGUGCAGUUGCCAACUGAGCCAACCAGGGCAAGGAAAAUUCUGAAAACGUCACCACCCCUGAAAUCUUUCCAAGGUUGUACCACCUGAUCCCAGAUGGUGAAAUUACCAGCAUCAAGAUCAGUCAAGUGGAUACCAAUGAAAGCCUCUCCAUUACGCUGAUGGGAGGCAGUGAAACACCCCUGGUCCAUAUCAUCCAACACAUUUAUCAUGAUGGGGUAAAUGCCAGAGAUGGCCAACUACUGCCAGGAGACAUCAUCCUAAACAUCAACAGGAUGGACAUUAGGAACGUCUCUCACAACUAUGCCCUGCAUCUCCUGCGGCAACCCUACCAGGUGCUGUGACUGACCAGGCUGCACAACCAGAAGUUCUGCAGCAGGAACAGUGGACAGACCCUGGGUGCCUACAGACCCCAGGAUGACAGCUGUCAUGUGAUUUGCAACAAAAGUAGCCCCAAGGAACAACUUGGAAUGAAACUGGUGUGCAAGGUGGAUGAGCCUGGGGUGUUUACCUUCAACGUGCUAGAUGGUGGUGUGGCUGAUUGACAUGGUCAGCUGGAGGAGAAUGAUUUGUGUGUUAGCCAUUAAUGGACAUGACCUUCAGUAUGGCAGCCCAGAAAGUGCUGCUUAUCUGAUUCAGGUAUUGCUGGCCCU
rnacentral:lncRNA from 1 species